UACAGAGGUCUCAAGCGUUGUUCGGAUUCAUUGGGCGUAAAGGGUGUGUAGGUGGCGCGCUAAGUCGGGUGUGAAAUUUCGGAGCUUAACUCCGAAACUGCAUUCGAUACUGGCGUGCUUGAGGACUGGAGAGGAGACUGGAAUUCAUGGUGUAGCAGUGAAAUGCGUAGAGAUCAUGAGGAAGACCAGUGGCGAAGGCGGGUCUCUGGACAGUUCCUGACACUGAGACACGAAGGCCAGGGUAGCAAACGGG
rnacentral:rRNA from 1 species